rnacentral:rRNA from 1 species
AGAGUUUGAUCAUGGCUCAGAUUGAACGCUGGCGGCAGGCCUAACACAUGCAAGUCGAGCGGUAGCACAGAAGAGCUUGCUCUUCGGGUGACGAGCGGCGGACGGGUGAGUAAUGUCUGGGAAACUGCCUGAUGGAGGGGGAUAACUACUGGAAACGGUAGCUAAUACCGCAUAACGUCUUCGGACCAAAGAGGGGGACCUUCGGGCCUCUUGCCAUCGGAUGUGCCCAGAUGGGAUUAGCUAGUAGGUGAGGUAAUGGCUCACCUAGGCGACGAUCCCUAGCUGGUCUGAGAGGAUGACCAGCCACACUGGAACUGAGACACGGUCCAGACUCCUACGGGAGGCAGCAGUGGGGAAUAUUGCACAAUGGGCGCAAGCCUGAUGCAGCCAUGCCGCGUGUGUGAAGAAGGCCUUCGGGUUGUAAAGCACUUUCAGCGGGGAGGAAGGCGAUAAGGUUAAUAACCUUGUCGAUUGACGUUACCCGCAGAAGAAGCACCGGCUAACUCCGUGCCAGCAGCCGCGGUAAUACGGAGGGUGCAAGCGUUAAUCGGAAUGACUGGGCGUAAAGCGCACGCAGGCGGUCUGUUAAGUUGGAUGUGAAAUCCCCGGGCUUAACCUGGGAACUGCAUUCAAAACUGACAGGCUAGAGUCUUGUAGAGGGGGGUAGAAUUCCAGGUGUAGCGGUGAAAUGCGUAGAGAUCUGGAGGAAUACCGGUGGCGAAGGCGGCCCCCUGGACAAAGACUGACGCUCAGGUGCGAAAGCGUGGGGAGCAAACAGGAUUAGAUACCCUGGUAGUCCACGCUGUAAACGAUGUCGACUUGGAGGUUGUGCCCUUGAGGCGUGGCUUCCGGAGCUAACGCGUUAAGUCGACCGCCUGGGGAGUACGGCCGCAAGGUUAAAACUCAAAUGAAUUGACGGGGGCCCGCACAAGCGGUGGAGCAUGUGGUUUAAUUCGAUGCAACGCGAAGAACCUUACCUACUCUUGACAUCCACAGAAUUUGGUAGAGAUACCUUAGUGCCUUCGGGAACUGUGAGACAGGUGCUGCAUGGCUGUCGUCAGCUCGUGUUGUGAAAUGUUGGGUUAAGUCCCGCAACGAGCGCAACCCUUAUCCUUUGUUGCCAGCGAGUAAUGUCGGGAACUCAAAGGAGACUGCCGGUGAUAAACCGGAGGAAGGUGGGGAUGACGUCAAGUCAUCAUGGCCCUUACGAGUAGGGCUACACACGUGCUACAAUGGCGUAUACAAAGAGAAGCGAUCUCGCGAGAGCAAGCGGACCUCAUAAAGUACGUCGUAGUCCGGAUUGGAGUCUGCAACUCGACUCCAUGAAGUCGGAAUCGCUAGUAAUCGUAGAUCAGAAUGCUACGGUGAAUACGUUCCCGGGCCUUGUACACACCGCCCGUCACACCAUGGGAGUGGGUUGCAAAAGAAGUAGGUAGCUUAACCUUCGGGAGGGCGCUUACCACUUUGUGAUUCAUGACUGGGGUGAAGUCGUAACAAGGUAACCGUAGGGGAACCUGCGGUUGGAUCACCU